rnacentral:rRNA from 1 species
UUGUUCGGAAUUACUGGGCGUAAAGGGCGCGUAGGCGGCAAUUCAAGUCAGUUGUGAAAUCUCCGAGCUUAACUCGGAACGGUCAACUGAUACUGUUUUGCUAGAGUGCAGAAAGGGCAACCGGAAUUCUUGGUGUAGCGGUGAAAUGCGUAGAUAUCAAGAGGAACACCUGAGGCGAAGGCGGGUUGCUAGGCUGACACUGACGCUGAGGCGCGAAAGCUAGGGUAGCAAACGGG